CCUACGGGUGGCUGCAGUGGGGAAUAUUGGACAAUGGGCGAAAGCCUGAUCCAGCCAUGCCGCGUGUGUGAAGAAGGCCUUCGGGUUGUAAAGCACUUUCAGUGGGGAAGAAAGCCUUGGGGCUAAUACCCUCGAGGAAGGACAUCACCCACAGAAGAAGCACCGGCUAACUCCGUGCCAGCAGCCGCGGUAAUACGGAGGGUGCGAGCGUUAAUCGGAAUUACUGGGCGUAAAGCGCGCGUAGGCGGUCUGAUAAGCCGGUUGUGAAAGCCCCGGGCUCAACCUGGGAACGGCAUCCAGAACUGUCAGGCUAGAGUGCAGGAGAGGAAGGUAGAAUUCCCGGUGUAGCGGUGAAAUGCGUAGAGAUCGGGAGGAAUACCAGUGGCGAAGGCGGCCUUCUGGACUGACACUGACGCUGAGGUGCGAAAGCGUGGGUAGCAAACAGGAUUAGAUACCCGGGUAGUC
rnacentral:rRNA from 1 species